rnacentral:rRNA from 1 species
GACGGAGGGUGCAAGCGUUGUUCGGAUUGACUGGGCGUAAAGGGCGUGUAGGCGGUUGGUCAAGUCUGAUGUGAAAGCCCGGGGCUCAGCCCCGGAAGGGCAUCGGAAACUAGCCAGCUGGAGCGCGAUAGAGGAGGGUGGAAUUCCUGGUGUAGCGGUGAAAUGCGUAGAUAUCAGGAGGAACACCGGUGGCGAAGGCGGCAUCCUGGACCGACAUUGACGCUGAACGGCGAAAGCUAGGGGAGCAAACGGG